rfam:Neisseria mucosa C102 genomic scaffold supercont1.1, whole genome shotgun sequence.
UAGGUCGUUUGGCUUGGCAAACUUGUCCGAACCUGAAAAGGUUCUUUUAUUUUCGGAGUUAUCCAUCAUGGCAUUGACCGUAGAACAAAAAGCACAAAUUGUUAAAGAUUUCCAACGCAAAGAA